rnacentral:rRNA from 1 species
AGAGUUUGAUCCUGGCUCAGGACGAACGCUGGCGGCGGGCUUAACACAUGCAAGUCGUACGCGCAGCCGGAGCUUCUUCGGAAGCUCUGGUGGGCGAGUGGCGCACGGGUGAGUAACGCGUAGGCAACCUGCCCUUGAGCGGGGAAUAACUUCGGGAAACUCGAGCUAAUACCGCAUACGCCCUACGGGGGAAAGCGGGGGAUCUUCGGACCUCGCGCUAUUGGAUGAGCCUAAGUCGGAUUAGCUUGUUGGUGGGGUAAAGGCCUACCAAGGCGACGAUCUGUAGCUGGCCUGAGAGGGUGGCCAGCCACACUGGAACUGAGACACGGUCCAGACUCCUACGGGAGGCAGCAGUGGGGAAUAUUGGACAAUGGGCGCAAGCCUGAUCCAGCCAUGCCGCGUGUGUGAAGAAGGCCUUCGGGUUGUAAAGCACUUUAAGUUGGGAGGAAGGUUUGAUGGUUAAUACCCAUCAGAAUUGACGUUACCAACAGAAUAAGCACCGGCUAAUUCCGUGCCAGCAGCCGCGGUAAUACAGAGGGUGCGAGCGUUAAUCGGAUUUACUGGGCGUAAAGGGCGCGUAGGCGGUCAGAAUUGUGUGAUGUGAAAGCCCCGGGCUUAACCUGGGAAGUGCAUCGCAAACGCUCUGACUAGAGUAGAUGAGAGGGUGGUGGAAUUUCCGGUGUAGCGGUGAAAUGCGUAGAGAUCGGAAGGAACGUCAAUGGCGAAGGCAGCCACCUGGCAUCAUACUGACGCUGAUGCGCGAAAGCGUGGGUAGCGAACAGGAUUAGAUACCCUGGUAGUCCACGCUGUAAACGAUGUGUACUAAAUGUUUGUGGAGUGAUCCAUGAGUAUUGAAGCUAACGCGAUAAGUACACCGCCUGGGGAGUACGGCCGCAAGGUUGAAACUUAAAGGAAUUGACGG